rnacentral:rRNA from 1 species
UGGGGAAUAUUGCACAAUGGGGGAAACCCUGAUGCAGCGACGCCGCGUGAAGGAAGAAGUAUCUCGGUAUGUAAACUUCUAUCAGCAGGGAAGAUAAUGACGGUACCUGACUAAGAAGCCCCGGCUAACUACGUGCCAGCAGCCGCGGUAAUACGUAGGGGGCAAGCGUUAUCCGGAUUUACUGGGUGUAAAGGGAGCGUAGACGGAACAGCAAGUCUGAUGUGAAAGGCAUGGGCUCAACCUGUGGACUGCAUUGGAAACUGUUGGUCUUGAGUACCGGAGGGGUAAGCGGAAUUCCUAGUGUAGCGGUGAAAUGCGUAGAUAUUAGGAGGAACACCAGUGGCGAAGGCGGCUUACUGGACGGUAACUGACGUUGAGGCUCGAAAGCGUGGGGAGCAAACAGGAUUAGAUACCC